AGGACGAACGCUGGCGGCGUGCUUAACACAUGCAAGUCGAGCGGUAAGGCUCCUUCGGGAGUACACGAGCGGCGAACGGGUGAGUAACACGUGAGUAAUCUGCCCUUCACUUCGGGAUAACCACCGGAAACGGUGGCUAAUACCGAAUACGACCAGUCCUUGCAUGAGGUGCUGGUGGAAAGUUUUUUCGGUGAAGGAUGUGCUCGCGGCCUAUCAGCUUGUUGGUGGGGUAAUGGCCUACCAAGGCUUCGACGGGU
rnacentral:rRNA from 1 species